rnacentral:rRNA from 1 species
AGUGAACGCUGGCGGUAGGCCUAACACAUGCAAGUCGAACGGCAGCACAGUAAGAGCUUGCUCUUACGGGUGGCGAGUGGCGGACGGGUGAGGAAUACAUCGGAAUCUACUUUUUCGUGGGGGAUAACGUAGGGAAACUUACGCUAAUACCGCAUACGACCUACGGGUGAAAGCAGGGGAUCUUCGGACCUUGCGCGAUUGAAUGAGCCGAUGUCGGAUUAGCUAGUUGGCGGGGUAAAGGCCCACCAAGGCGACGAUCCGUAGCUGGUCUGAGAGGAUGAUCAGCCCCACUGGAACUGAGACACGGUCCAGACUCCUAGGGGAGGCAGCAGUGGGAAUAUUGGACAAUGGGCGCAAGCCUGAUCCAGCCAUACCGCGUGGGUGAAGAAGGCCUUCGGGUUGUAAAGCCCUUUUGUUGGGAAAGAAAAGCAGCAGGUUAAUACCCCGCUGUUCUGACGGUACCCAAAGAAUAAGCACCGGCUAACUUCGUG